UACGUAGGGGGCAAGCGUUGUCCGGAUUUAUUGGGCGUAAAGAGCGUGUAGGCGGCCAGAUAGGUCAGCUGUGAAAACUCGAGGCUCAACCUCGAGACGUCGGUUGAAACCAUCUGGCUAGAGUCCGGAAGAGGAGAGUGGAAUUCCCGGUGUAGCGGUGAAAUGCGCAGAUAUCGGGAAGAACACCCGUGGCGAAGGCGGGUCUCUGGGCCGAUACUGACGCUGAGGCACGAAAGCUAGGGGAGCAAACAGG
rnacentral:rRNA from 1 species